UAGGGAAUCUUCCGCAAUGGACGCAAGUCUGACGGAGCAACGCCGCGUGAGUGAAGAAGGAUUUCGGUUCGUAAAACUCUGUUGUUAGAGAAGAACAGCGCAUAGAGUAACUGUUAUGCGUGUGACGGUAUCUAACCAGAAAGCCACGGCUAACUACGUGCCAGCAGCCGCGGUAAUACGUAGGUGGCAAGCGUUGUCCGGAUUUAUUGGGCGUAAAGCGAGCGCAGGCGGUCAAUUAAGUCUGAUGUGAAAGCCCCCGGCUCAACCGGGGAGGGUCAUUGGAAACUGGUUGACUUGAGUGCAGAAGAGGGGAGUGGAAUUCCAUGUGUAGCGGUGAAAUGCGUAGAUAUAUGGAGGAACACCAGUGGCGAAGGCGAGUCUCUGGUCUGUAACUGACGCUGAGGCUCGAAAGCGUGGGUAGCAAACAGG
rnacentral:rRNA from 1 species